rnacentral:lncRNA from 1 species
GGGGAAAGAGAUGAGGAUGAGAAAAAAGAAGAGGGAGAAGGGAAAAGGGAGGAGGAGGUGGAAAUGAUCCUGGAGUGCCUCGUUCUAGUAAAAAGGUGCUAGGUUUCAUCAGUAUAAGGCUGAUAUAUCUAAAGUACUGUUGCAUUUGACACUCAUAGCUUUUUAUUAUGAGUUUGUUCAUAUAUUUGCUCUUCCUUUCCUACGUACUACCAGACGGAUGCACACACCUCUUACUUUUUUCACGACAAUAACACCAACAACUCCCACAAAGAUUCUGUUCUUUUCUUUUGCUGUUCAGUUAUUCCAUUCCCAAUAGUGUUUUUAUUCUUCUGGAUAGUUUCUAAUUUGUUCCUUGGAACAACCCUGUGCUUAGCGAUGGCUUCAUAAUUACUGUGUAGAAGGGUCUUUGAAGUGUCUAUCUGAUUGGACGGGGGAAAAGGGGAAAUUGUCUUGAGGAAGCAUUUGCAUAGCAAGCACACUAUUACAUUUACUUAUUGGGGUCACGUGGGAAGAGGCUUAUGGAAAUUACAGAGGAUCCCUUAACCUCAAGCUACCCUUGGAAUGGCCAUGAUUGUGACAUAGGAAGAGUUAGUGAUAUUAUUUUUAUAGAAAUUGGGAACUGAACCACGUUUCUUAUUACUAAGGCAUCUGCAGGUUAUUCUUUAUCAGAAUCCACCCGUCCUUUCCCAACACCUGAAAACACUUACCUGGAGCCUAUUAUUACGGCAUAACUAGUCCUGGUGAUGUGGAAUUACAGCCACCACCUCUACCAUCAGCACCAUCCUGCCCUGUCACUCCUAGGGACAGAGCCCCAGACUAACUGCCAUCACCCUUUGCUUUUUCCAGCAGCUUGCCUGAUUCGUGACCUGCGAGCUUUCUGCCUGGCGAGGAAGGGGACAGGAGCGACUGGAGGUGGCAGUGAUAUGUGGACAGUGAUCCCACAGAAAUGAGAAGGAUAGAUAAAGACAGCAAAAACAGGGCUCCUCAUCUUCAACCUUCUCCAAGGAUAAAAUUAGGAGCUCUAGACUAGACGACCUGUGUUCCAGGUAAGCCUCUGGUACUAAAUACCUGUAUGACCUUGGGGGAGUCAUUCUGCCUUUCUGAAUCAUAAUUUCCUCAUCCGUAAAAUGGGGUGAUAUCCUUGCCCUGUUACACCAUAGGAUUAUUGAGAAAGCAUGGAAUCAUGUAUCUGCAAAUUCUUGGGAACCUAGAAGGUGACACAAACAUGGGAGGAUGAGGGAUGACUUCCCACCUCAAUGGAGCUGCUCCCCAGUGACAACAGUCAUUCACUUAACAAAGAUUCAUGUCUGCUCAUAAUGUGGAAGCAGAAGGAAACUAAGGUCUUAGGAUUACGCUUAUCUCCUGUGUUGAGAUGAAAAAGUGGCAGUGGUUUUGUUGCUCUAUUCUUUGCUCAGAUAUUCUUGCUAUCAAAUAGUAUCUUUAGAUGACAAAGUGUCCCAUAUUUGCUGUAACCUAGUUUCCUGCCACUAGUCUCUAGUUUUAAUCAGUGAGUGUCUCCAUUUUCUUGCUUCUACACCAUUACCUCCCUACGGCGUGUGUUGUCAUUGCUUCUCAGCUCCAGCAGCCAUUUGUGAUCUGUGGCUGAUUUUACUCCAUUCUUAUAUCCCAUCCUACCCCUCCAGAAAAU